CGCGCUACACAUACAAUCCAUUUCCAGGCCAUUUCUCAGCUUACGUGGCAUUAAAAAUAAUAAAAUAAUAAUAAUAAUAAAAGGUAAAAAAUUCUAGAAACUUAAAAAACCCAACAAAAUUGCUUUCCCCAAUUGGAAACCCACCACUCAUAGAAUACGUUUUGGCGAAAUCAAAAUCCACACCUUCAAAACCUCUACCCACACCUCACCAUCUCCGGAUGCAUGUAAAUCGGAAGUACGUCGUUCCUCCGACAGCACUUCCAGCUACUAUUUUUCGCCGUUUGAAGAUUUUGGAUCUCCGGACGCACCUCAGUCGACAUUCUUGCCUCUAGUCCGAGUACUCUUACAUCCAUGGUUUUGCUGCCUCAUGCUAAAGCAUCUCUGGUCUGUAGCUAAAUAGCACCAGAUUUAUUAACCUAGAGGAGUUAAAAUUUUGUCAUUUUUGUUGCAGAAUUUUAGCCUAGAUCGUUGAGAAUCAAUGUUUGCUUCUGAUAUAUAUAUAUUUUUUUCACAUGUAUCUUCGAUAUUUAUUUUAGCCUAGUUCAUUGAGAAUCAGUAUUUAUUUAGCCUAGUUCAUUGAGAAACAAUAUUUAUUUUCGAUUUUUUUCCCCACAAGUAUCUUCAAUAUUUAUUUUAGCCUAAUUCACUGAGAAUCAAUGUUUAGCCUAGUUCAUUGAAAAUAAAAUCCAUGAAUAUUAAU
rnacentral:lncRNA from 1 species